rnacentral:misc_RNA from 1 species
UACGUAGGUGGCAAGCGUUGUCCGGAAUUAUUGGGCGUAAAGCGCGCGCAGGCGGCUUCUUAAGUCUGAUGUGAAAUCUUGCGGCUCAACCGCAAGCGGCCAUUGGAAACUGGGAAGCUUGAGUACAGAAGAGGAGAGUGGAAUUCCACGUGUAGCGGUGAAAUGCGUAGAUAUGUGGAGGAACACCAGUGGCGAAGGCGACUUUCUGGUCUGUAACUUACGCUGAGGCGCGAAAGCGUGGGGAGCAAACAGG